GAUGAACGCUGGCGGCGUGCCUAAUACAUGCAAGUCGAGCGAACGGACGAGAAGCUUGCUUCUCUGAUGUUAGCGGCGGACGGGUGAGUAACACGUGGAUAACCUACCUAUAAGACUUGGAUAACUUCGGGAAACCGGAGCUAAUACCGGAUAAUCUUUUGAACCGCAUGGUUCAAAAGUGAAAGACGGUCUUGCUGUCACUUAUAGAUGGAUCCGCGCUGCAUUAGCUAGUUGGUAAGGUAACGGCUUACCAAGGCAACGAUGCAUAGCAGACCUGAGAGGGUGAUCGGCCACACUGGAACUGAGACACGGUCCAGACUCCUACGGGAGGCAGCAGUAGGGAAUCUUACGCAAUGGGCGAAAGCAUGACGGAGCAAAGCCGCGUGAGUGAUGAAGGUCUUCGGAUCGUAAAACUCUGUUAUUAGGGAAGAACAUAUGUGUAAGUAAAUGUGCACAUCUUGACGGUACCUAAUCAGAAAGCAACGGCUAACUACGUG
rnacentral:rRNA from 1 species